GAUAAAUAAUGAUAAAUACGCAGUGAAAGUUUCUUUCUGACUAUAUCAUUUCUUUUCCAUCUUUCUAAGGGGAUUUUCGCAGGAAACGAUCUCCAAGAGAAGUUUUAGAUUUCAACUAACCACACUAUUUUUGGCUUUUAUCCAGAUUUAUAAACAUAAUUUCUUUCCUAAAACAUUUAUCAGCAACCGAUACGACAGAGGCAGCACUUUAACAUAAUUUUUUAUAGAAACAUAUCCUAUUAAGUAGGCAUAGAAGGGAAGAAGAUCCAUAAACACUCUCUUCAAUGGUUACAGAAGUAGAACUUAAAGUAAAGCAAGAGGGAGUUGAGUAAGUGGUCUCAUAAGGGAAUCUAGUGAAAGAAGCGAGGGAAUAUAACAGAAGGGAGGAGAGUAUAUCAAGGGAUAAGCCGUAGCAGUGGAAAGUCAUCACUCACUCCACUUUACUCAACCUGGCAGUUCUUAUCUGCAUUGCUAUGCUUCCCAUUACCUAGUCGGAAAAUAGGAAAACAUUAAUUCUUAAAUUAAAACAAUUUAAAGGAGGAAUCUUAACUAAAUUCCGAUAACUAAAGUAACGAGAUUUGAAGAGAAAUUCAACAAGUUUUAAAACAAAUCGAUAAUUGUAAUCGAUUAAGAAAGAAAAGUGGAAAAUUCUACAACAAAUGGACCAUUACACGAUGUCGAUUAGGUUCCAAAUGAAGCUUAGCAAUUCGUAGUGGAGUGAAUGAUCGCAACUACUACCUGAGGACAUGUGCAGCGGAUGGCGAUAAGAGGAAGCCAAACGAUAAUCCAACCAUCCACACAUACACACGUGGAUUCUUUUUUUACACUCCAAUGGACAAUAUCCUGUAAUACGAAUCAGAUUUUUCACGCAUGUCUGACUGUCUACACGAUUGGAUUAUGUCGUGACGUCUUCAGAACCACUUCUCUUGCUUAUUUCCCCCCUUCUCUCUCUACUUGGGAUAACAGAG
rnacentral:lncRNA from 1 species